rnacentral:lncRNA from 1 species
AAACCAAUGACACUAUGGUCUUUUCAACAUUCCAAUUGCUAACUUACCGUUUCUCCGAAGUUAUGUAUCUUCUUUCCAGUCGUAUCUUGUUUACAUAUAUAAAUUAAUUAAUUGCUCUCGUGCAUAUCAACACUGUUGGUUCUUCUAUAACAAGGAUAAUCUCAUUUUCAAAAACACUGCCCCAACUCAGUAUUGAUAAAGAACGAUUGCAAUAAACACAAUGUUAGUUUUAGGUCUGAACCGAGAAUUGGUUGAACAAUAUGAUGUGUCUUUGUCUGAACUCAUAGGCGGCAUAUCAUUGGCGAUCUUUUAUAUUUGAAAUCCAUGUCUUUGCCUUUACAUCUGAAUAUACGGUAUUGGUGUUUUUAUAUUAGUAGGUCGCUCGUUUGUCAAUAAUUGGUUACAUCCACUUCAAACGAACUUUAGUUGUUAGUUUCCAUCUUUUAAAUCAUACCACUUCUCUGUUUUUUUAUAGUUUAUUAAGCAAUACCUUCUAUUACAUCUCAUCUUAAUUUUCCAUAUUGAAAUAACG